AUCAACGACAAGGCCUACACGGAAUACAAGCACCGGAUGCCCCUGAAGGAGGUCCAGGCCGUGGUCAUCCUAGGGGAUUUCCAUCUAACCGCAAUCAACAGCCUGAGUCUGCCUUCUUACAGUCCGCCAGAGUCCAAGACCUAAGUCAGCAAGGAAAGAAAAUCUGCUGAAACAGGAUGUGUUCCUCUUCCGACUUACAUCCAAAUUCUGCUUAAGAACAAAUCUGCAUAAGCUAUCUUGUUCGUAACUUGGGGGACUGCCUGUAUAUGUGUUUUUCAACUAUGUUGUGCCCCCUGGCUAAUCAAAAAAAAUGUAUCAUUAUUAUUAUGUACUAGCUAUCCCCUGCCAGGCGUUGCUGUGGCCCAGUCUGGUGAUCUGGAAAAUAAAGUAAUGAGAAAGUG